AUCCUGGGCCCACUCUACUCAACUUUAAACUUAAUAUCAUGUGUUAGUAUUAAAAUCAGAGAAAGGAUAGCUACAGCAGGAAUAUUUGACUCUCAUUUUGAUCCUCCAGUACAUGUAUGUUAAAGUUUGAAAGAUUUCCUUGCCCAUUGUGUAAUUUGAUGGGCUAUGAACUAGCUACAGUGCAAGUGUCUACCUUUGAUCUCUGCAUUGGAUUCUCACUUUGAUGCAUGUACAAUUUAUUUUGUAUUUCUUAAUAUUUAUGACUGCAUAUGCAGUACCCUCUAGAGUCUAGUAAAAUGAAUUCAUUGCCAAAUAAAAUACUAUGCACAAAUUGCACAAUAACCACAUGACCACACUCACGCCCAUUUGAAUUUGAUGUCCACUACUCCUCUGCUCUGCUUGCCAGUGCUUGGCUCGAGCAGACCUACAUGGCUUACUCUCUCAUCUGACUGAGUCAAGAUGGUGAGUUUGGCGACAGCUAAAAAAUGGGCUACCUGGACAACAAUAGCUGUCUUUUUCUUAAGUGGAGGAAUGGAAUAUAGUGUUAUCCUUCCCACAUGUUGGGACUACAUGCACGAAGAGUUUGGAGCGCAGAAGUGGCUGUAUGGUCUCACAAUCUCAGCAAUGAGCAUAUCCAACUUGUUAAUUGGUCCUAUCAUGGGUGCAAUCUAUGACAAGACACACCAAACGAAGAUUCUUGUCUUAUUUCUUAACCUUUUUGAAAUUGGAGGUCAGCCAAUUGUCUAUAUUAUAAGCCACUAGGAUGUG